CAAGAAUCUGGAAACUGGAAACGGGGCAGAAGCUGGGAGAAUUCGAGAAAGAGAGGGAGAAAGAGAGAAAAAGGAAAAAAGAAGGAAAUGGAAGAGGCUGAUGAUUUUUGUAAGUUUGGGUUCUUCAUUUCUUCAGCUUAUCACUUUUUUUAGAGAGGUAAGUUAAUUAAAUUUCUAGGGUUUAUGGAACAUUCAUUUAUAUUCGAAGUUUAGCAAGAAUUAGAGAUUAUUAUUAUGUUUUUGAGGUAUUAAACAAGAAUAUAUCAAAGGAAUGUAUAUUUGAAAAUUUGUGAUGAAGAAAAUGGAAUUUUGAAGGGGUUUGUGAGAUAAGUGUUUACUCUUUGAUUUUCUUGUGAUUAUAUAAUACUGAACACUUAAAUUAGGGAUUUGAGAUUGGAAUUUCCCAUUUUUUUUAAAGUAAUUUUCGGGUUACUGUAGUAUAGGUGCUGUUUCUGAUAGUGUGCACAGAAUGGUGCCACUUCUGUCAAUAGUUUUGGUGUCAAAUUUCAAUAUUGAGAAAUUGGUGUCACAUUUCAAUAUUCUGGAAUUUUAGUGCUGUCUUUGUCAAACCUUUGAUUUUCACAUUUUAAAGGCUUGAAUGAAGUUUUAUGACAAGUAUUGAGAUUUAUGUAUUGGAAUAAAUUAUGCAUAGGGGUUGUAUAUGUAUAAGUUAUUGAUUUUAAGGAAGUGAGAGUAAUUUAAUGGAUUUAAUAAUGCAUGGUAUUUAGUUGAUAAAUCAUUAAAGAGAAGAAAGUUAGAGAAUUGGAAAUGUAAGAGUAAGUAUAGAAGUUGAGAAGUUAAGUGGUGGAUUUAUAUUAAUUUAAUUGUUAGAUUUUAAUUCGAGAAAUUAUACCGUUAUUUCAGGCGGGAAUGUGGAAGCUUGGAAAUCUUCGUCAAUUUAAGCAAAUUUCUAUUCAUAGAUCUGUGAGUGGAAAAAUAUAAAUAUUUUUAGAGUAUUUAUAAAUUAAGUUUAUUGUUAAAGUAUGUGUAAUUAUAUGCAAUUAUGUGUUCGAAUUAAAUGAUUUUUAUGGAAAUAUCUUUUAUUAUAAUAUAUGUGGGAUUUCAAAGAUUGUAUACGUUACAUUGUGAAUUGGAAUAUGAGAUAUAAUUUUGAGAUCGACCAGAAGAGUACCCGUGAUUAUAUAUUUCUUCUAGUUCACUGAGGGGCCUUGAUCGUGUUCUAUACUACACAGAGGGGUCAUGGACCGAGGAUGAAGGGGUCUCGACCGUGUACAUAUAGUUCACUGAGGGGCCCUGGUUGUGUUCUAGAAUUGAUUUUGAGAGGUUUUUGACUCCGACUUUCGUUCACGGAGGAGCUAAAGGCCCGUGGCGAAAGUUCCUUGCCCAAGAGGCGGAUUACAUAUUUCAAUCAAAGGGUAUAUUUUUGAUGGAUUUUUCAGUACGUUUGAUGUGAUGAGAUUAUAGCAUGGUUAUCAGCUAAUGUCUAUAUCAUGAUUUUGAGAUGAUAUUUUACGACCUUAUGUGAAUAUUUCACUUUUUGGUUAUAAUUAC
rnacentral:lncRNA from 1 species